AGCUCUGAUUCUUUAAAAACAGAAAGAAAAGCUUGAAAAUACAUGCUGAAACUAACACUGCCCGCCCUUGCAGAGAGGCUUGCAGACAGGUCUUGCAAGCUACGUCUAUUGAGAGGUUGUGUCAGACAAGCAUGGUGCUAGCCUCCUGCUCUGAGAGGUGCCCUGGAAGUUGACCUAGGAAGAGUAAGUCCUUAGAUCCUUACUAAAGAUGUAAACUGCAGUAUUGUGCCGUACCUAUUCAGUAUUAGUUAAUGCAUUAGGUUUUUAGCUUGGUUGGAAUUCUGCAGUCAUCUGAGAGUCUGCAGAACCACUUUAUUACCUUCUGUGUGAGAGUUGUGGAUGAACAGAACUCUUGUCCUGAGCAGUACUCCUUGGGGACCACUUUCCUGUGCGCUUUCACCGUCAUUACACUUCCAAGCAGUUUCUUUGUGUAUUCCAGCAUACUGUAGCAAAUGCUGCUUUGUCAUGGUGCAAGGCUUCCCACUUGGAGCCUGAACAUCGUUAGUGCAUACAGUCAUGGAACAGUUUGCUGGAGAGAGCUCCGUGUUCCAAGCAGUCUAGAGAAGUGAUUCUGCCCUUUUGCUCUUGUGAGACCCCAUUUGGAGGACUGCAUUCAGUUCUAGAGGCCUCAACACAAGAAGGACAUGGAGCUGUUGGAGCGGGUCCGAAGGAGGGCCACAAAGAUGAUCAGAGGACUGGAGCACCUCCCUUAUAAGGCGACAGACUGAGCUGAGGCUCUUCUGCCUGGAGAAGAGGCCUUCCAGUACCUGAAGGAAUCCUACAGGAAAGGUGGGGAAGGACUUUAUAGAAGGGCAUGUAGAAACAGGACAAGGGGAAAUGGCCUUAAACUGGAAGAGGGUAGAUUUAGACUAGAUAUUAGAAAGUUCUUUAGUGUGAGGGUGGUGAGACGCUGGAACAUGUUGCUCAGGGGAGUUGGAACUAGAUGAUCUUAAAGGUCCCUUCUAACCCAAACCAUUCUAUGAUAUCAUCUGAUGUCCUCUUGAGAUGAAAGGCACUUCUUAAAAUCAGUGCACAGAAAUUGAUAUGGAAGAAAGAUUUAGAAUUAAUGCUGGGAUUCAAGUUGUCAUCUCACUUGAUGUCAGGUUGUUCCUGUAUCUCAGACAUCCCAGGUCAAUAGCAUGUAGGUAGGAACUCAAUCUCAGGAAAGUAAUUUCAUUUAGCAUGGGAUAAGUAAAGGGUGGCCUCCUUCAGAGCUUCAUUUUAUUCUGUCAUUGCUUUUCAUUGCUGGCAAGAGCUUAUCUUGCUGUCAACUAAAGCAGGUCCUUUUUAGAGAUGGUAGUGAUCCAACCAUUUUUUUAUUGGUUUUUAUUUGUUUACUUAAUUAGCAAGAGUGUGGUGGUCUGAUGAAUGUUUACCACAAAAACGCUUUGUAAAUCUGUUGAUGGGAAGUUCUGACCAGAGGCUUGUUUCUACAGCACUGUCUAGUGUCAGGAAUGAUGCUGCUGCUGGUGAAGGGUGGUGCUUCUUGCUGCAUAUCCUGAGACCUGAGCCUUUUUUAUUUUUUUUUUUUCUUGUGUCGUGAUCUGAGACAAGACAAAGUAUCAGUUGUAUCCAAUAGAGGCUGGCAAAUUCAGCAGGAUGCUCACAAGAGCAUUACUUCUUCAAAAAAGGCUUGGUCUUCAAAAUGUCAAACAUUCUGGGCUACCAAUAUGGAAAAUACAGGGGGAAGGGCAAAUGGAAUGAUACAUAUUAAGAAGUUUUAAUGCGUACACUUCUUUAAAAUAGCACAACUCAGGAUUUGUAGGGGACCUGUUAGGUCAGGGCUUGAACUGGUGAUUGAGCACCUGGUGAAGGGAUUGUGGCUGACCCAGGGAACACAAGCAAUUGAUUGCACAUUGUGCUCCCCAUGUGACCAGAAGGGGUGGAACCACUCUGGGCUCAUAUAAGGGCCAGCAGUGAAGGUAGAGCAUCUCAGGGAUUUAGGCUGCUUCCUAACAGUGAGUGCUGUAGUGCUGGAGAGCCCUUCAUCAGUUGGCUGAGUUCUGUUCUUUCUGUAUGUGACUAUUGGCCUAACUGGGAAUACUUUGCCUGGUAUUGCCAAGUACCUCUCAGAAGUAGUUUCAUUUCUUCAUGAGCAGAGCAGUACUCAAAUGGGUUACCUGAUGGGAGUAGAUCAUACUGGUUUGUUCUAGCCAUAUUUAAUUUUCUCAUAACUCAAUGUGACAUUCCUCAUGUCUUUUUUUUUUAACUUCAUUUUUGAACUUAAUAGAGCCUUUUCUUGAUCUGUCUUUGUACUCUGUGCAUUUUCAUACAAAAAUGAAUUUUUUUAAUAGUAGUUACUUCAGUAUAUUGUCUGUUGUUGGAAGAUUGAACCUCCUUGCAGUCUUUUCAUGACAGACAAGCUGGACUGGUGGAGGAAACAUACUCCCUGUAUGUGGCCUUGAGGUUCUUUGUGGACAAAACAGUUACCAUUGAGUCACUUUCUCAACACCAGAGUAUUUGCUGAACAAAUCUUGUUUUCUUUUCUCUGUCUGUAGAGCUCUUGCUCUCCAGAAGGUUCUUUGCUGUGCUUCAGUGCUCGUAUGAAGUAUAUCAAAAGCCUGAUUUGCUCCAUGAAGGUUUUCUGGCUCAGAAGGUUGUUCCAUGGGCUACUUCCUCUCUUGACUAUUCAACCUCAUCAUCAGAUACAUUCUCUCGUAACUUCAGAUGCAUACUUGUUUCUAAGCACUGCGAUUAACAGAGCGUACUGAUUAUUAUUUAUGUAGUUAGUAUGACUUCUGAGAUGGGUAGCAAUGUUUCAGUCCUUCCUAGAUACAGUUGAAAUCUCACAUUCUUCCUUAUCCCAAGAUGUUGUUAGUCAUCUGCAGCAAUAUGUGAUUUCAGUCCUUGGAAAAAACAAUGGUGUUGAAAGCUUUUUAGGGGUAUCAGCUCAACUUGAUCUUUCAUUUCUGCUUUUCAAAGUUAUUUGCAGCUACUAUCAGGGGGCUGGAGCACCUCCCCUACGAAGACAGGCUGAGGGAGCUGGUCUUAUUCAGCCUGGAGAAGAGAAGGCUGCAGGGUGACCUCAUUGCAGCCUUUCAGCACCUGAAGGGAGCCUAUAAACAGGAAGGGAGUAAACUCUUUGAAAGGGUAGAUAACAGCAGGACAAGGGGGAACGGUUUUAAGUUGAAAGAGGGAAGAUUUAGGUUGGAUGUUAGGGGGGAGUUCUUUACAAGGAGAGUGGUGAGGUGCUGGAACGGGCUGCCCAGAGAGGUUGUGGAUGCCCCGUCCCUGGAGGUGUUCAAGGCCAGGUUGGAUGGGGCCCUGGGCAACCUGGUCUAGUAAAUGGGGAGGUUGGUGGCCCUGCCUGGCAGGGGGGCUGGAGAUUCAUGAUCCUUGAGAUCCCUUCCAACCCAGGCCAUUCUGUGAUUCUGUGAUACUAGCUAUAAGCUAUUAGGAAUAGUGAGGGUAGCAACCACUUCCUUACAAUGUUGCAUGGGUUGUACACAUGAUGUCUACCAACAUUGCUUUAAAAAAGAAGUCAUUCAGAUUUGUAGUCAAGAUGACACUUGUAACAGCUCGGAGGACCCCUAGCUAUAAGGCAUCUCCUGCAGCUGCUUGAGAAAAGUGAUAAGACAGAAGCAAUGUCAGGUAUGUGUAACAAGGUAUACAUGCUGGAAAAAAAAAAGCGAAAUAAAAAAAGGAAUCCAAGUUGAAGAAGCACAAGGUACCAUUUUGUGUGUUACAAGAUGUAAAUCCAGCUCUUGUAUUAUUGACGCCUUCCCAGGUUUUAGUCGAGCCGCCUGAAAUAUGUGACUACUGGGCAUAUAAGGGAAAGCAGCAUAAAGUAAUACAACCUGACAAUAGGUUAAUCAGGGGAGAAAAUAAUCCCUUUGUGUAGCUUUCUGUAUUCAUUAGUUGUUUUUUUUUUCUGCCUCUUUUUUUCUUAGCUGCUUUUUACUUCAUUUACUCCAACACAGAGUCAGAACAAACUGUCAGACUUAAAUUACUAAAUUACAUUUGUGAAAUUUGGAAUAAAGAGAGUGAGCUGUACUUCAUUUUGCUAUUUUAGCAGUAGUUCCAUCAUUGUCCAGAAGUUCAUAAUAAAAUGAUCUGCAAUUUGCAUGUUCCCUGUUCUGCCUUCCCUCAAGGUCUGACGAGAGUGGUGCUCAAUAAUUUGAGUUAUAUUUUGACAGUGGGUGAUGGUCAAGAAUAAAACCCUUUUCCUUCCAGAAGGCUCCCUCCCCACCCAGAAAAAAGCAUUUUCUAUUUGUAAGAAAAAAUAAAUACAUGUAGAAGUAAUUACUGAAACUAGAACAUUUCUCAAAAGCAAUUUCAAUUUCUUCAGCAUACUGUCAAAGAUAGGUUGUAGGGGUUUUUUAAAAUCUUAGAAAUAUCUUACUUAGUUUUUGAGUGGUAGAUAGUCUUUAAUAGGCUGUCAUGCAGUAAGCAUUUGCUGGAAGUGAGUUAACACAGGAAAUGUUAUUAUCAUACAGGUAUUGCUUCUGUAUUAGAAAGUGUUUAAAGACUAAUAAUUAUUAAAUGCUUUAGUUAUAGACUUUAUUUAGCAAUGUCCUGCCUUACUGCUUGAAUCAUAUAGUCAUUUUUGUGUACUGCCCACUCCUUCCCUUAGUCAGCUUGCUUUUAACAUCUGCUUUGCCUUAAAGGCUCAGUGCUUGAAUUCAUCUGGAAUUCAAGUAGUAAUCUGUAGUCCCAAGAAACGUGUAGUUAAGCGGUAGUUUCCAUCGCUGUGCAGUAUGUCAGCAGAAAUCAUAACAUUUCCCUUGAGCACUGGAGAUUGUUCCACAUUUUAAAAGGAUAAACAUGACAACAGCUCCAUCUAAACGUGGAAAACCAUCAAUUUUUAUACACAACCAUAACUAUACUUUGAGCUGUUUCAUUCAGUUUGGAGACAGUUUUGCUGGGUAGCCUAUAGAUUCUCUAAGAAGGGCUGAUUCUCUGAGCACUGGUUUGAAGAGACCUGCCUGCUGAAGUUGUACCAGCAGAAGCAGCAGCUGUUAAACCAUCCACCUCUGUGCCAUGUUUUUCAUGCUAUCUAAUGUUAUAGUAAUUGUCAAUAUCUGCAAUUAGCUGGAGAAAUAAAUAAUAUGGAAAAAGUACAUUUGUCUGGACGGUGUUUCUUUACAGUGCUUUUGUUAGUUGAUUUCCCCCGCCCUGCUACAGGAAAUUUUGGCUGUGUCUACUGAUGUAUAUUCCAAAUGUGUGUGUGCUUCCACUCAUGUUAAUAGCUUCAGAAGGUAAGUAGGGUAAGUGUCCGCUCGUCCACUAAG
rnacentral:lncRNA from 1 species